rfam:Nomascus leucogenys chromosome 18, whole genome shotgun sequence.
GCCGGGCGUGGUAACGCAUGCCUGUAAUUCCAGCUACUCAGGAGGCUGAGGCAGGAGAAUCGGUUGAACCUGGGAGGCGGAGGUUGCAGUGAGCCGAGAUCGUGCCACUGCACUCUAGCCUGGGUGACAGAGCGAGACCCUGUCUCAA